UCUCCUGUGCUUCUGUCCCAUCUCC
rnacentral:piRNA from 1 species